ACGGGGGGAACGCGAAGAACCUUACCAAAUCUUGACAUCCUUUGACAACUCUAGAGAUAGAGCCUUCCCCUUCGGGGGACAAAGUGACAGGUGGUGCAUGGUUGUCGUCAGCUCGUGUCGUGAGAUGUUGGGUUAAGUCCCGCAACGAGCGCAACCCUUAAGCUUAGUUGCCAUCAUUAAGUUGGGCACUCUAAGUUGACUGCCGGUGACAAACCGGAGGAAGGUGGGGAUGACGUCAAAUCAUCAUGCCCCUUAUGAUUUGGGCUACACACGUGCUACAAUGGACAAUACAAAGGGCAGCGAAACCGCGAGGUCAAGCAAAUCCCAUAAAGUUGUUCUCAGUUCGGAUUGUAGUCUGCAACUCGACUACAUGAAGCUGGAAUCGCUAGUAAUCGUAGAUCAGCAUGCUAUAUUCU
rnacentral:rRNA from 1 species